GCCUUCAUGGUGUAGUGGUCAGCCCGUUCGACGCAUAUUCGAGAGGUCCGUGGUUCGAGUCCCGGCAAGGGCA
rnacentral:tRNA from 1 species